rnacentral:rRNA from 1 species
CAGUAGCCGCGGUAAUACGUAGGGUGCAAGCGUUAAUCGGAAUUACUGGGCGUAAAGCGUGCGCAGGCGGUUUUGUAAGACAGAGGUGAAAUCCCCGGGCUCAACCUGGGAACUGCCUUUGUGACUGCAAGGCUAGAGUACGGCAGAGGGGGAUGGAAUUCCGCGUGUAGCAGUGAAAUGCGUAGAUAUGCGGAGGAACACCGAUGGCGAAGGCAAUCCCCUGGGCCUGUACUUACGCUCAUGCACGAAAGCGUGGGGAGCAAACAGGAUUAGAUACCCGCGUAGUCCCUGUCUCUUAUAC